GACGAACGCUGGCGGCGUGCUUAACACAUGCAAGUCGAACGGUAAGGCCCUUCGGGGUACACGAGUGGCGAACGGGUGAGUAACACGUGGGUGAUCUGCCCUGCACUUCGGGAUAAGCCUGGGAAACUGGGUCUAAUACCGGAUAGGACUCCUGGCUGCAUGGUUGGGGGUGGAAAGCUUUUGCGGUGUGGGAUGGGCCCGCGGCCUAUCAGCUUGUUGGUGGGGUAAUGGCCUACCAAGGCGACGACGGGUAGCCGGCCUGAGAGGGUGACCGGUCACACUGGGACUGAGAUACGGCCCAGACUCCUACGGGAGGCAGCAGUGGGGAAUAUUGCACAAUGGGCGCAAGCCUGAUGCAGCGACGCCGCGUGAGGGAUGACGGCCUUCGGGUUGUAAACCUCUUUCAGCUAUGACGAAGCGCAAGUGACGGUAGUAGCAGAAGAAGGACUGGCCAACUACGUGCCAGCCGCCGCCGUAA
rnacentral:rRNA from 1 species